CCACUUCGGUGGGGAUUAGUGGCGAACGGGUGAGUAACACGUGGGCAAUCUGCCCUUCACUCUGGGACAAGCCCUGGAAACGGGGUCUAAUACCGGAUAUCACUUCCACGGGCAUCUGUGGGGGUUGAAAGCUCCGGCGGUGAAGGAUGAGCCCGCGGCCUAUCAGCUUGUUGGUGAGGUAAUGGCUCACCAAGGCGACGACGGGUAGCCGGCCUGAGAGGGCGACCGGCCACACUGGGACUGAGACACGGCCCAGACUCCUACGGGAGGCAGCAGUGGGGAAUAUUGCACAAUGGGCGAAAGCCUGAUGCAGCGACGCCGCGUGAGGGAUGACGGCCUUCGGGUUGUAAACCUCUUUCAGCAGGGAAGAAGCGAAAGUGACGGUACCUGCAGAAGAAGCGCCGGCUAACUACGUGCCAGCAGCCGCGGUAAUACGUAGGGCGCAAGCGUUGUCCGGAAUUAUUGGGCGUAAAGAGCUCGUAGGCGGCUUGUCACGUCGGGUGUGAAAGCCCGGGGCUUAACCCCGGGUCUGCAUUCGAUACGGGCAGGCUAGAGUGUGGUAGGGGAGAUCGGAAUUCCUGGUGUAGCGGUGAAAUGCGCAGAUAUCAGGAGGAACACCGGUGGCGAAGGCGGAUCUCUGGGCCAUUACUGACGCUGAGGAGCGAAAGCGU
rnacentral:rRNA from 1 species